ACCACAUGAUGACGCUUGAUGAAAACAACAACACAUGCAGAUCCUGCAGAUGACAGAUAUUAAUAAUUACACUUUAAACACAAAUAUUACCAGCUAAUCUGCUAAUUAAACCGACACACAACCCGUUAAAAUGGAGGACUCGAGCUUGUCCCGCGACUCAGCUGAAAAGUCUUGUGGACUGUAAGACGUGUGGACAGACACUGACUGUACUGAUGAUGAUCAUCUGCUGCUGCACAGCACAGAUGGAAAGUAAAGGAGUGUGAAGAAAAGACGCGACUCAAACACAAACAGACAUUCAGCCUGAGCUACAAGAGACGUCUAGAAGAACCAGACGCUCGUCUGUUGAUCCUGAACUGCAGUUCUCCAGCGCUCCACUAGGCGGAGUCACUCACUGACUGACACACAGAGACACGCCCCCUGUCAGAGCUCAGCCUGUACUUCAGCAGCGGGUGAGUCUCAGCAUUCAUUCAGCUCUUAUUCUGUUAAUAUGAUCAUGUUUGAGUGCUGUAAUGAAGAGCACAUCAAUAUAUUCAGAAUUAGUGCUGCACUGAGUUCAUUCUGUCACUGAUCGAGCUGUUUAGGCUGCAGAGAAGUGAAAUUUCUGGCUGAUUAAUGAUGUUAUUAUCUUAAAAACUCUUAGAUUCUGAUUGU